UACAGAGGGUGCAAGCGUUAAUCGGAAUUACUGGGCGUAAAGCGCGCGUAGGUGGUUUGAUAAGUUAGAUGUGAAAGCCCCGGGCUCAACCUGGGAGGGUCAUCUAAAACUGUCAGACUAGAGUAUGGUAGAGGGUAGUGGAAUUUCUAGUGUAGCGGUGAAAUGCGUAGAUAUUAGAAGGAACACCAGUGGCGAAGGCGACUGCCUGGACUGAUACUGACACUGAGGUGCGAAAGCGUGGGUAGCGAACAGG
rnacentral:rRNA from 1 species